rnacentral:tRNA from 1 species
AAAGAAUUAGUUAAAAAAAAAUAUUAGUAUGUCAUACUAAAGAUAUUAAAAAUUACCUUAAUAUUCUUUU